rnacentral:rRNA from 1 species
GACGAACGCUGGCGGCGUGCUUAACACAUGCAAGUCGAACGGAAAGGCCCUGCUUUUGUGGGGUGCUCGAGUGGCGAACGGGUGAGUAACACGUGAGUAACCUGCCCUUGACUUUGGGAUAACUUCAGGAAACUGGGGCUAAUACCGGAUAGGAGCUCCUGCUGCAUGGUGGGGGUUGGAAAGUUUCGGCGGCUGGGGAUGGACUCGCGGCUUAUCAGCUUGUUGGUGGGGUAGCGGCUUACCAAGGCUUUGACGGGUAGCCGGCCUGAGAGGGUGACCGGCCACAUUGGGACUGAGAUACGGCCCAGACUCCUACGGGAGGCAGCAGUGGGGAAUAUUGCACAAUGGGCGGAAGCCUGAUGCAGCAACGCCGCGUGCGGGAUGACGGCCUUCGGGUUGUAAACCGCUUUCGCCUGUGACGAAGCGUGAGUGACGGUAAUGGGUAAAGAAGCACCGGCUAACUACGUG